rnacentral:rRNA from 1 species
ACAAGCUUUCGCCUUAAGAUGAGCCCAUGGCCCAUCAGCUAGUUGGUAGGGUAAAGGCCUACCAAGGCUACGACGGGUCGCUGGUCUGAGAGGACGACCAGCCACACUGGCACUGAGAUACGGGCCAGACUCCUACGGGAGGCAGCAGUGAGGAAUAUUGCGCAAUGGGGGAAACCCUGACGCAGCAACGCCGCGUGUGGGAAGAAGGCCUUCGGGUCGUAAACCACUUUUGCACGGGACGAAAAAGGGAUAUCGAACAAAUAUCCCCGAUGACGGUACCGUGAGAAUAAGCCA